GACGAACGCUGGCGGCGUGCUUAACACAUGCAAGUCGAACGGAAAGGCCCUGCUUUUGUGGGGUGCUCGAGUGGCGAACGGGUGAGUAACACGUGAGUAACCUGCCCUUGACUUUGGGAUAACUUCAGGAAACUGGGGCUAAUACCGGAUAGGAGCUCCUGCUGCAUGGUGGGGGUUGGAAAGUUUCGGCGGUUGGGGAUGGACUCGCGGCUUAUCAGCUUGUUGGUGGGGUAGUGGCUUACCAAGGCUUUGACGGGUAGCCGGCCUGAGAGGGUGACCGGCCACAUUGGGACUGAGAUACGGCCCAGACUCCUACGGGAGGCAGCAGGGGGGAAUAUUGCACAAUGGGCGGAAGCCUGAUGCAGCAACGCCGCGUGCGGGAUGACGGCCUUCGGGUUGUAAACCGCUUUCGCCUGGGACGAAGCGUGAGUGACGGUAAGGGGUAAAGAAGCACCGGCUAACUACG
rnacentral:rRNA from 1 species